rnacentral:rRNA from 1 species
UACGUAGGGUGCGAGCGUUAAUCGGAAUUACUGGGCGUAAAGCGUGCGCAGGCGGCUUUGCAAGACAGAUGUGAAAUCCCCGGGCUCAACCUGGGAACUGCAUUUGUGACUGCAAGGCUAGAGUACGGUAGAGGGGGAUGGAAUUCCGCGUGUAGCAGUGAAAUGCGUAGAUAUGCGGAGGAACACCGAUGGCGAAGGCAAUCCCCUGGGCCUGUACUGACGCUCAUGCACGAAAGCGUGGGGAGCAAACAGG